rnacentral:rRNA from 1 species
GAUGAACGCUGGCGGCGUGCCUAAUACAUGCAAGUCGAGCGAACUGAUUAGAAGCUUGCUUCUAUGACGUUAGCGGCGGACGGGUGAGUAACACGUGGGCAACCUGCCUGUAAGACUGGGAUAACUUCGGGAAACCGAAGCUAAUCCCGGAUAGGUUCUUCUCCUUCAUGGGAGAUGAUUGAAAGAUGGUUUCGGCUAUCACUUACAGAUGGCCCCGCGGUGCAUUAGCUAGUUGGGGAGGUAACGGCUCACCAAGGCAACGAUGCAUGGCCGACCUGAGAGGGUGAUCGGCCACACUGGGACUGAGACACGGCCCAGACUCCUACGGGAGGCAGCAGUAGGGAAUCUUCCGCAAUGGACGAAAGUCUGACGGAGCAACGCCGCGUGAGUGAUGAAGGCUUUCGGGUCGUAAAACUCUGUUGUUAGGGAAGAACAAGUACAAGAGUAACUGCUUGUACCUUGACGGUACCUAACCAGAAAGCCACGGCUAACUACGUGCCAGCCGCCGCAGUAA